rnacentral:RNase_P_RNA from 2 species
GACAGGACCAAUGCCGCGAGGCUCAUCACCCACAGGUCGUCGCCCACGCCAGACAUGGAUAUCCGCAGCCCGCGUAGGUUGAGGGAACUGUCUAUCAGUCUGCUCUCAGGAGACUAUCGCCCACGACCUUCCCAGUGAGCGGGCUACGGUCUGAGUGUUCAAGUCCCUCUUGAUUGGCUCUAGCUGAGUCCCGUCGACAACGACGGCGCGACGUUUCAGAAACCCAGCCGUGGACUUCUCCAAGAUAUCUUGGGCCAGCGAUGGACCUGUAGACUCCUCUGGUCGGCCCGUGAUUCGUGAACCACGCGUUGCCUGGUGGACGAGGGUGUAGCCCCAAAGGCACAAAAGUGCUACUAUCCCUCCCCCCUAGCGGCUUUGGAACACGUUGCAGGGAUUGGGCAGUCAACCGCCUGCAUUACUCCUCUCGUGGUGCUUCCGUCUGUGCUCCUACUAAUCAGGAGCGCACACCCCUUGCUUCCUGAUCCUGCAUCAGUCGCUCGAGAAGUGUCAACGGUUGCACAGAGAGUGCGGCAUUAUAGGUGAUGACUGUCCUUCAGCGCAGUUCGCGGGAUGCAUUUGGCUUCGUGCCCGUGCAUAGCCCGAUUCAGACCAUUUUGUGCUGUC